UACAGGUCAAUUUGUUAUCUCCCUUUUCAUAUAACAUACAUUUACUUCUUUGUGUGAAUUCUGUCCUCUCUCUAGUAUUUGUUCACCCAUGCCGGCUGAUGCAAUAAUUGUUAGGUCCAAUCAAAAUAACGAAUUGAUCCGAUGCAAGAUUUUCAUUGAUCAUUCAAUUGUACCUGUUGCUUUCAUAAACAAAUUACUGACCACGCUUGCAUUUGCCAAGACCGUCUAGUGGACGCAAGUCCAUAGUCGUUGUUUUAUUCCAACCUGGUCUUUUCCGUCAUGGCUAUAUUGGUCAGCGUCAAUAAAUACAAUUAAACCUCCACGGCUUUGAUUGAAUGAUGUGCCCCAAUCUCAACACCCACUACAAAUGGCGCCCAACGGGGGACAGACGUGCGACGGAAGGACCAGGUUGGCGGCUGGACCAGGUUUCCGGAGGGUGGCGAGGUUGGAACCACGUUCGUUGAGGACGGGCCCACGCUGUCGGAGCGGUGCUGGAUUCGGGAGUACGACAACCCAAAAGAGGCGCGUUGACUUCCGUCCAGCUCCUAGGACCGUUUCGGCAGGACCCGCAGUACUUUCGAAAGGACAGCUGAAUUGUGUAUUAAUUAUGCACAUUUUCGUAAGAGAAAUCUGCGUGUUUUUCAGUGUUUAUGUCCAUUUGUUUUUACAUCAAUAUCUCAAAAUCUUCGUCUUAUAAUAUGUCUGACUGUCCGAAAAAUAUCUGAAACGCAAGAAGUACAUACGGACUUAAAACGAAACAAUUGAAAAUUUUGGACAAAAUAGUAAGUCCCUAUUAAACGAAUAUAUUUCAAUGUUACUUGUUAGGCAUUAAAUGAAAUCCUAGUAUUAGACCUAGCGCGUAAACAAAAUGUCAUUAUUUAACGUUUAACGUUUUUUUCUGAACAGUUUUAUCAAUAAAUAUUUGCUACAAGACAAAAAUAAUGUUAAUUAUGAUUGUGCAUAUGCAAUGUGUAGAUUGUUGUAAGCCAUCGAUAUAUGCCUUUUUAUACCCGCCUGUAGUUUAAUAUAGUAUUGUAUUUUAAUUAUUUAUGAUGAGACAAUAUUUUGUGUUAAACUGCUCCUUGAAUAAAUGCCAAUGUCAA